rnacentral:rRNA from 1 species
AUUGAACGCUGGCGGCAUGCCUUACACAUGCAAGUCGAACGGCAGCGGGGGAGAAGCUUGCUUUUCCUGCCGGCGAGUGGCGAACGGGUGAGUAAUACAUCGGAACGUGCCCUGUAGUGGGGGAUAACUAGUCGAAAGAUUAGCUAAUACCGCCUACGACCUGAGGGUGAAAGUGGGGGACCGUAAGGCCUCAUGCUAUAGGAGCGGCCGAUGUCUGAUUAGCUAGUUGGUGGGGUAAAGGCCUACCAAGGCGACGAUCAGUAGCUGGUCUGAGAGGACGAUCAGCCACACUGGGACUGAGACACGGCCCAGACUCCUACGGGAGGCAGCAGUGGGGAAUUUUGGACAAUGGGCGAAAGCCUGAUCCAGCAAUGCCGCGUGUGUGAAGAAGGCCUUCGGGUUGUAAAGCACUUUUGUCCGGAAAGAAAUGGCUCUGGUUAAUACCUGGGGUCGAUGACGGUACCGGAAGAAUAAGGACCGGCUAACUACGUGCCAGCCGCCGCAGUAA